rnacentral:rRNA from 1 species
GAUGAACGCUGGCGGCGUGCUUAACACAUGCAAGUCGAGCGAUGAAGUUUCCUUCGGGAAACGGAUUAGCGGCGGACGGGCGAGUAACACGUGGGCAACCUGCCUCAUAGAGUGGAAUAGCCUUCCGAAAGGAAGAUUAAUACCGCAUAAUGUUGAAAGAUGGCAUCAUCAUUCAACCAAAGGCGCAAUCGGCUAGGAGAUGGACCCGCGGCGCAUUAGCUAGUUGGUGGGGUAACGGCCUACCAAGGCGACGAUGCGUAGCCGACCUGAGAGGGUGAUCGGCCACAUUGGGACUGAGACACGGCCCAGACUCUUACGGGAGGCAGCAGUGGGGAGUAUUGGGCAAUGGGGGCAACCCUGACCCAGCGACGCCGCGUGAGUGAAGAAAUCCCUCGGGAUGUAAAGCUCUGUUGUGUGGGAAGAUAAUGACGGUACCACACGAGGAAGCCCCGGCUAGCUCCGUGCCAGCCGCCGCUGUAACAC